GCGACUUAUGCUUAAAAGUGCAUCCCUGCGUUGCCAUGCAUUUCACACGCACCCCUGCGUGAACACCGCCAAAAAGCUUCCCUGGUUUUUCGAACUUCCAGGGUUCUCUUGCUUCGUAUAAAUGCGCUGAGCGCAGUUGAAUCUUCCUUCUUAUUAUUAUCAACAUCCCACCUGAAGACAUCGUGAGCUACAGUUUGGAAUUACAUCGUGGGAUUCAUCCAAUUUUCGCUAUUCAACCUAAGUAUCAUUUGUAUGGCUAAACCAUACGCAAUUGUAUUGUAAUUUCAUUGGUUUAAAUAAUACUUACUUUUGCAUUGUAUAAAAUAAUACCAAUUUUCCUUUAAACGUUACCACAAAGUUACAUUGUAGACAAUCCUAUCAAAUGAUCUUCAACACUUUGCAUUGUAUAAAGCACAUAUCAUUCAUUCGAUUUUUUCAUUGUACCUUUUAUUAAUACAAUUAAUUAGUUAAAACAAACCACACCACUACAUAGUAGUGCUAGAUUUAAGGCAACGUGAAUUUCCAUUAGUAGUUUAUAAAUUAGCUAUACUCGUUAAAUAAAUCCAACGUUGAAUUUUUCUACAUUGCAAACCAAAUCUUCAUCAUUUCCAUCCAUCAGCAGUGCUUAUACAUGCGCUUCAACAUGGUCCUUGCGAACCGAAUUUGACAGCAAAGGAACGCAGCUAAUAAUAAGCAUACCCGUAGUUGGCAACGCGGACAUCGAAAGAGGAGUUUCGAACAACAAAAACUCCUACUGGCAAUGCUGUGGGCGACAGCCAUAUUAUUUUUCACACACAAUUUUGGAAUGGCAGCAGCAGCAGCAACAUCGUAAAUUUUGUGCCGCGAUACAAUUUCAACCAUCGUCAUAAAAGUUUAACGCGUUUUAAAAGUGCCAAUUCUCAGUGCGUCGAGUUCAAAAAAAACCAAAAAACCAAAAGUGACUACAAAUUGCUGCCCACCGUGGGAUAUUUGCAGACAGGUGCAUCCACCAACAACAGCGCAUAUUAAGGGACGCUCAAGGAGCCCCGAUUUUGAAGCGGCGUGGGACAGCAAUCCCUAGUGAAGACUCCCGACUUCCUCAGCGAGGCGACAGCCCAGCGUGGGAUAUCCUAACCACAACCAUAAGGAUGAGUAAAAUUAUGGAACGCAUACACGCCGUGAACCGUUUUGUGGAUCGGUACUCGCUGUUGGCUUAAUCGCUAUCACGAACCAUAGUUUGCACCCUUAACAUAUGUAUGUACAUACAUAUGUACAUGUGUAUAUGCCCAUUUGCUAGUUUUGUAUUAGCUGCUAGCGCAAGCGGUUUGCGACCGCUGCUUAUACCUACUUACCCACAUUCGUACUUAUAUGCAUAUACAUAUAUCUAUAUUCGUACAUAUAUAUGUACAAUCGCUCUCCUUGCUGAACAUUGUUCCAGACUCUUCCAUAUACAUAUAUGUGCAUGCCUGUGUACUUGGGUGGUUGCCUAUUUGCCUCGCCAACUUUGAAAAUCUUUUCGUUUAGCGAAAUUUUUGAUCAUACCACCGCCAUAUGUCUAUUCGGUUACGCUAGCGGUGUGAUUUCGCUUCUACAUACGCAUGCUUGUAUGAACGUUUCAACCCUCUUUGAGUUGGACCAUUAGCCGUUUGCGCCGGCGUUAGAAUUUUGCCGGGCUUAUUUUACCAUUUGCAUUUCUUUGCUUCUUCGGUUUCUUGCUGGCUGCGCUGCCAGUUGCUUUAAAAUUCUAUAAGAAUCGAAGACUGCAAAAGGGACACACUCAAAGUAGGAAACGAAGAGGGGAAUUAACGAGCACUGUACAAGCAUUUGCAGAGAUUUCUUCCUAAAACAUACAUACAGACAUGCGCGCUGAUGUACAUACAUAGUGACGUAGGUACAAAAACCGUACACUAGAUUCACAUUCUUGUUCGUAAUUUUUUACCACUUGAGCUGGCAUACAAGGCAAUCCACAUUUUCAAAACGUUCAUUCCUCAUUUACAUAUGUACUUCUUGCAUGCCCUUUUAUUUAUAUGAGUUAAUCUACAAAAUUACAUACAAUAUCCAUUGUCACUAUUAGUUGCUCUCUUGGCAUAUACAUAUGUACAGGUGUAUAUGCGAAAUUUAUAGUGGUCGUAAUAAUUGCAUGCGCCAGCGCUUUUAGACCCAGGCUAAUACAUGCCUAUAUAUACACAUUCAUCCGUAUGUAUAGACCUACAUACGUACAUAUGUGUAUUGUGUUCAUGGUCUAAGGCAAACAUUUUAAGUGAACAUUUUUCAAGUACCCUUCUAUAUACAUAUGUACAUAUGCAUGAAUGUGUGGAAUUUUGAUGGUUGUAUUACUGAUCUCCACCGGCUUUGAAAUUCGUGCUCUAUUUUAACAAAAUCCCGUAUUACUUGCGCCGGAAUACAAGGAAACUAGAAUUAUCAAGACACUAAUUCCUCAUUUAUGGAUAUCUCCGAGUUCAUCUAUAAAAUUACCUACAGGAUCCAUUGGAAUUAGUGAGAAACAAUACCGAAAUACGUUUUGUGAAUUCAAAAAAAGAAUUUUACGUUGAGAUCAUACAUAUACAUACACACGUGCUGAAUCGUAUAACUAAAUACAUACAUAUGUACAUAGGUAUAGUAGCAAUGUUUUAACCAAACCCAGUGGUAAAUUUAUGCGAUCCGGUUGCGUAAAACUGUAGUGCCUUGCCGGCACAUACAUACAUAUACGAGCUCCGGGGUUCACUUUAUUUUCAAUAUUUGCAUAUCAAUUGUGUGGGCAUCCACCCAUUGCUGCUUGC